GUAGUUGGAACAACAGGGGAAAGCGCGAACGCAGUCCCCCACUACCACAAAUUAUGCAGUCGAGUUUCCCACAUUUGGGGAAAUCGCAGGGGUCAGCACAUCCGGAGUGCAAUGGAUAAGCCUCGCUCUGGGAAAACCACCUUCGUGAUCAUGGUAUCUCCCCUGCCAGUUCAGGGGAAAGCGCGAACGCAGUCCCCCACUACCACAAAUUAUGCAGUCGAGUUUCCCACAUUUGGGGAAAUCGCAGGGGUCAGCACAUCCGGAGUGCAAUGGAUAAGCCUCGCCCUGGGAAAACCACCUUCAUGAUCAUGGUAUCUCCCCUGCCAGG